rnacentral:rRNA from 1 species
GUGCCAGCCGCCGCGGUAAUACGGAGGGGGUUAGCGUUGUUCGGAAUUACUGGGCGUAAAGCGCGCGUAGGCGGACAUUUAAGUCAGAGGUGAAAUCCCGGGGCUCAACCCCGGAACGGCCUUUGAUACUGGGUGUCUUGAGUUCGAGAGAGGUGAGUGGAAUUCCGAGUGUAGAGGUGAAAUUCGUAGAUAUUCGGAGGAACACCAGAGGCGAAAGCGGGCAACUGGACGGGUACUGACACUGAGGCACGAAAGCGUGGGGAGCAAACAGGAUUAGAAACCCGUGUAGUCC